rnacentral:misc_RNA from 1 species
GGAGGACAGCACCGCCGCCCGCACUGCGCCUGCUGCCACAUGCGCCCUGUGCUGUGAAGCUCUUGUUUCAGUGCCCUCCCUGCCGUGCCGCCGCAACCGCGCCGCGACGACGGCUGCCACGCUACCGCGGAGGACGGUGCCGCCUGAUGCCGACGCGGGCGUCGAGGCCUACCGGCACCGCGUAGCCCGCAGAGCUGACAUCGGCGGCGGCGGCGUCUUGCCGAGAUGCGGAGGCGUGUGCGACGACAGGCGAUGCUGACGCGCUUCUCCUGCCCGCACCGCGUCUGGACCGGCCAGCGGUGGGCUGGGCGCCCCUGCCGUGGCGGCGCGCGAUGGGCGCCGGCGUCGUGCGGCUGCCACACCCUCGCCACGGCCGGGUGCUCCUGUGCUUCGUGGUGCGCGAUCCGGUUGUCUGCGCCGUGGCGAGGCCGCGCACGCCGACGCUGCCUUGCCCGGCGUACGCCUCGCCCUCGCUGCUGUGGGAGGUGCGGGCGCACGCGCCGCCAAGCGGCUUUGCGCGGAGCUGGCUUGUGAAGGGGCGCGCUGUCCCGAGCACCGUCGGCGCUGGCGAGCUGCUGGCCGCGACCCCGCUGGACCUGACCUUCUCUGCGCUCCAUGAGCUGCUCGGCGAUGCACAGCGCUGCGACCGCGUGGCGCGCACCUUCAUGCCAGCGGCAGGCCUGCACCGGGCCGGGGGCAUGGCCUUCUCAGCUCGCGCCACCGCCACCGCUGCUGGCUGCGAGGCCGCGGCGCCGGUGGCGAGGACUGGCGGUCGCCGAGGUCCGCGUGUGCGCGGCUGACGGCCGAGCUUUCCGCCUGGAGUGGAGCGGAUGGCACGCACGUGGGGUGCGGGGGCCCGCCCGGCUGGACGGCUGACUCGCGGUUGCGGCCGGCGGCGUUGUCCAUGUGCUCUGCCACGCCUCACGGGUGGGCUGGCUGGGCACGUGCAGCAGCAGCGCGCCCGCUCCUCCUGCGCGGCUGCGUGGGCGUGCCUGAGUCCGACGGCGUGCUGCGGCGGCUGUGCGAGGCCCGUGAAGUCGGCGGCAGCGCCUCUGCGCAGACGGCGUCCUGUGAUGCGCCUGCCGACAGCCGCCACGCUGUGCACCACAGGCCAUCCGAGUCGGUGGCGGUGGGGUGGCUGACGAGACAAGUAGAGCGCGUGCGCGCCUCUGCGGUGCUGCGAGCAAUACUGCGGCUGCCGGGGGUCGGUGCUGCUGCGACGGCGACGGCGGCUGCGCCCGCCGAGGCGUGCGUGGGGGCCGCCAUGGCUGUUGCGCUUGGGGUGGUGGCCGAGUACGUGCCGGUCCGGCUGCACGCGACUCUUGCGGUGGCCUGCGGUCUCGCCGACCCCGCGGCGGCGCCAGCCUGCUAGCCGACAGCGGCGGCGUGACGCGACCGGAGAAGGCUGGGCAGCGGAAGGGCACGCCCCCCUUGCUGGCCGUGCUCGGCGAGAGGAAGCCGAGGACGGAGGGUGGCGCGCCGUGGGCGUGGCGUGGGCGCACGACGGGCCUCGCCAUGGCGGCGCGACGCACGGCGUGUGCCGUGCAGGGUGGGCGAGCAAGGGUGUGCGGGGGAGGGGACGCCGUCGCCUCUGCUGCGUGCUGUGCGGGAGGGCGGCCGCGUGCGUGGGGACAGGUGCAACUGUCCGUCCCGCCCCCGAUGCGGGUGGGGCGCGCUGGAGCCCGUCUGUAUGCGCAUGCGCGCUGCUGCUGUGGCCAGCCUCCCUUCUGCGCCGCCGCGUCGCAGGCCGCACCGCUGCGUUGAGACACGGCGCGCGCCGGUGGGUGGGGUGAGGCCGGGAAUGACUUCUGCUUGGCUUGCUUGCGUGCGAGCAUGCUGGUGGGCUGUUGGCUGGGCGGACUCGGCACGGUGCACUCCAUCCCUCCUCCCUGCGGUCGCCUCGUGUGCGGCGAGGGUGUGCUCUCACCUUGGCGGUGGCGGCGUGCGUGCGAGCGUUCUCUCCUGCCGGCGCACGUCGGUCGUGCAUCCGCGUGCCGGCGCUGUCUCUGUGGUGUAGGGGAGCGGCCCCUCGUGCCCCCUCUCCCCUCAUCCCUGCGCAUGCGGGGCGGCUUGUGGUGGUGGCAGGGGUAGGCCCCUGCGGCGUAGGGGGAGGCGAGGGCGAUGCGUCGCGGCCGGUGUGGUCGGCCAUGCCGUGGAUGGCGUGGCGCCGGAGCGAUGUGCGGCAGCGGACGCGCUUGUGCCGUCCGCAUGGCGGGCGAGGGGCCAACGGGGCUCGGGCGUCUCCCACCCGGCCGUUGCUGCCUGCUGGUGGGGAGCCUGAGCCACGCCGAGGGGGACGCGCGAGGUGGCUGCCGGCACGGUGUGCGCUGCUGUGGGGCGACCUGCGUGGGGGAUGGGUGGGCAGAGGCUGUGCAGGGGACCGUGCUCAUGCUGCUGGGCCGCGCGCGGGGGCGGCGCGGGGUGUAGCGUGGCGCCGGCCUGCUGCUGUAGGGCGGGAGAUGGACGCGUCGAAGGGGAGCUGCUUGCGCUGUGGCAGACAUCGUCACCCCGGGUGCCGCCUGGCACUCGCCGCUGUCCCCACCUGCCACGUGCGGCCACCCACGCAUGCGGGCGGCGAGCGACAUCGGCACUCAUGAGGGUUUUGUGUCCUGUGCGUCCACACCCCCACCGCGCUUGGACAGCGCGCCCAUGCAGCGGUGGGGGCCUCAUGGGCAGAGGGGGUGCCCGCGCCACUGCCUGCUCUCUUGGCCCCGCGUGUCCUCCCGCGGUGAUGGGGGCGAGCAAGCGAGUGCCCCUCGCCGGCCUCUCCCGCCCCACCGAGCAGCGAGAGACACACGUGAGCCACAACGGCGGCCUCGCCUGUGCUGCCUGUGCGUGGCGAGCGGGCGCGUGCAGCCGCAUCCUCCCCCGCGUGUGCGCACACACCCGUCGGUGGGCGGUGCCGGCGUCUUGCGCGGCGUUGCUCUGCCGGCCGGCGGACAGCGAUACGCGGCUGCCGCACCGCCGCAGCGGGAAGCGGGGUGGGCCGGAGUCGCCGCCGACACGGCAAACGCGCGACGGCGCAUAUGCGCCCUCGAGGCCCACCUGCUCGUCUCCGAGCGCUGUCGCUGCUCGCUCGGCGGUCGCUGCUCGCUCGGCGGUCGCUGCUCGCUCGGCGGUCGCUGCUCGCUCGGCGGUCGCUGCUCGCUCGGCGGUCGCUGCUCGCUCGGCGGUCGCUGCUCGCUCGGCGGUCGCUGCUCGCUCGGCGGUCGCUUUUCCUUUGCUCUCCUCGACUCUGGCGCAGGGUGGUGAGGGCUGCCACCCGGACACGCCCAGGCUGGCGUGGCUGAAGGCAUCGCCGCUGUAGCCGCAACGGGUACGAGUGCGCGCGAGCAGGCGCAGCAGCAGUGGCGGCUGUGGUGCGGGGGUGGUGUUUCCGCCUCCCCCUCUCGGCGUCACUGGCGCCCCUACCAUGCGUAGCGCGUGGUCGUGCUGCCCGUGCUGCUGUCUUGAACCGUGCUUGAUGCUUGCUCCCACUGCGACGCACUUGGCCACUGCCCUGCCGCUCAUCGUUAUUGGUUUCAUGGACGUGCUCGUGCCGUGUCUGACAG